rnacentral:rRNA from 1 species
UACGUAGGGAGCGAGCGUUAUCCGGAUUUAUUGGGUGUAAAGGGUGCGUAGGCGGUUUAAUAGGUCUAAGGUCUAAGUCCGAAGCUUAACUUCGGUUCGCCUUAGAAACCGUUUUACUUGAGUAUGGUAGAGGCAAGUGGAAUUUCUAGUGUAGCGGUUAAAUGCGUAGAUAUUAGAAGGAACACCAGUGGCGAAGGCGACUUGCUGGGCCAUUACUGACGCUGAGGCACGAAAGCGUGGGGAGCAAAUAGG